GGGGGGGGGGGGGGGGGGGCGGGGCGCGGGCAGGGCGAACGGAAGGGCCCUGCGUUUGUGGGGUGCUCGGGUGGCGAACGGGUGAGUGACACGUGAGUCCCCUGCCCUUGACUUUGGGAUAACUUCAGGAGCCUGGGGCUCAUACCUGCUAGGAGCUCCUGCUGCCUGGUGGGGGUUGCACAGUUUCGGCGGUUGGGGAUGGACUCGCGGCUUAUCAGCUUGUUGGUGGGGUAGUGGCUUACCAAGGCUUUGACGGGUAGCCGGCCUGAGAGGGUGACCGGACACAUUGGGACUGAGAUACGGCCCAGACUCCUACGGGAGGCAGCAGUGGGGAAUAUUGCACAAUGGGCGGAAGCCUGAUGCAGCAACGCCGCGUGCGGGAUGACGGCCGUCGGGUUGUAAACCGCUUUCGCCUGUGACGAAGCGUGAGUGACGGUAAUGGGUAAAGAAGCACCGGCUAACUACGUG
rnacentral:rRNA from 1 species